UGCUAUUGCUGGGCACUAGCAAUGUGCACGCCUUUUGUCUAUUUCAUGUCUCCCUGUGCACCACUUGUAGACUUUGCCCCUGUCUAUGUAUCACAUAACCUUAUGAAUGACCUUGUAAUAUGUGUUUAUACACAUUAUAUUAUACAACUUUCAACAAUGGAUCUCUUGGCUCUCGCAUCGAUGAAGAACGCAGCGAAAUGCGAUAAGUAAUGUGAAUUGCAGAAUUCAGUGAAUCAUCGAAUCUUUGAACGCAUCUUGCGCUCUUUGGUAUUCCGAGGAGCAUGCCUGUUUGAGUGUCAUUAAUCUCUCUCUCAAAAACAUUUUGAGGGGUAUUGGGAGUCAUUGCUGGCAGCUGCUGAAGCUCCAGCUCUCCUUAAAUUCCUUGAGGACGAAAUGUUGGUGUGUGAUAAAUUGUCUAUCUAUGCCAAACAAGUCCCUCCCUAUAUUUAAUGAUUGACCUCAAAUCAAGCAAGACUACCCGCUGAACUUAAGCAUAUCAAA
rnacentral:rRNA from 1 species